GACGAACGCUGGCGGCGUGCUUAACACAUGCAAGUCGAACGGUGAAGGGGUCUGCUUUUGUGGGCCCUGGAUGAGUGGCGAACGGGUGAGUAACACGUGAGUAACCUGCCCCCUUCUUCUGGAUAACCGCAUGAAAGUGUGGCUAAUACGGGAUAUUCUGGGUCUGUCGCAUGAUGGGUCUGGGAAAGAUUGCGCCUUUGGGUGUUUUUGGUGGGGGAUGGGCUCGCGGCCUAUCAGCUUGUUGGUGGGGUGAUGGCCUACCAAGGCGGUGACGGGUAGCCGGCCUGAGAGGAUGGACGGUCACACUGGGACUGAGACACGGCCCAGACUCCUACGGGAGGCAGCAGUGGGGAAUAUUGCACAAUGGGCGCAAGCCUGAUGCAGCGACGCCGCGUGAGGGAUGGAGGCCUUCGGGUUGUAAACCUCUUUCGCCAGUGAAGCAGGCCUGCUCCUUGUGGGUGGGUUGACGGUAGCUGGAUAAGAAGCGCCGGCUAACUACGUG
rnacentral:rRNA from 1 species